rnacentral:rRNA from 1 species
GGGCCCGCACAAGCGGUGGAGCAUGUGGUUUAAUUCGAAGCAACGCGAAGAACCUUACCAGGUCUUGACAUCCCUGGACAGCUGUGGAAACACAGUUUCCCUUCGGGGCCAGGAGACAGGUGGUGCAUGGUUGUCGUCAGCUCGUGUCGUGAGAUGUUGGGUUAAGUCCCGCAACGAGCGCAACCCUUGCCUUUAGUUGCCAUCAUUAAGUUGGGGACUCUAAAGGGACUGCCGGUGACAAAUCGGAGGAAGGUGGGG